rnacentral:rRNA from 1 species
UACGGGGGAGCAAGCGUUGUUCGGAUUUACUGGGCGUAAAGGGCGCGUAGGCGGCGCAACAAGUCACUUGUGAAAUCUCCGGGCUUAACCCGGAGCGGUCAAGUGAUACUGUCGUGCUAGAGUGCGGAAGGGGCUACUGGAAUUCUCGGUGUAGCGGUGAAAUGCGCAGAUAUCAGGAGGAACACCAAUGGCGGAAGGCAGCACUCUGGGACGUGA